GACGAACACUGGCGGCGUGCUUAACACAUGCAAGUCGGACGGAAAGGCCCUGCUUUUGUGGGGUGCUCGAGUGGCGAACGGGUGAGUAACACGUGAGUAACCUGCCCUUGACUUUGGGAUAACUUCAGGAAACUGGGGCUAAUACCGGAUAGGAGCUCCUGCUGCAUGGUGGGGGUUGGAAAGUUUCGGCGGUUGGGGAUGGACUCGCGGCUUAUCAGCUUGUUGGUGGGGUAGUGGCUUACCAAGGCUUUGACGGGUAGCCGGCCUGAGAGGGUGACCGGCCACAUUGGGACUGAGAUACGGCCCAGACUCCUACGGGAGGCAGCAGUGGGGAAUAUUGCACAAUGGGCGGAAGCCUGAUGCAGCAACGCCGCGUGCGGGAUGACGGCCUUCGGGUUGUAAACCGCUUUCGCCUGUGACGAAGCGGGAGUGACGGUAAUGGGUAAAGAAGCACCGGCUAACUACGUG
rnacentral:rRNA from 1 species